UGGCUCAGUGGUUAAAGCACUUGCCUUGCAAGCAUAAGGACUGGGGUUUGGAUCCCCA
rnacentral:tRNA from 1 species